GUUGGUUGUACUUCAUGCUUAAAGUGUGUUUUGUGCAUAUAUGAAGUGUACAUGUGGGUAUUUUUGUUGUAUUUUGUUUCUGCCCUGCCACGUUGUUGCUCUGUACCACGUGUCCACUACUGUCUUAACCAGGCUCUCUGUAUCACUCUUCUUUCAUCUCCAGCUCUGCCACCAUACCACAAACUUGCAGCAGAUCCCCAAAUCUAAAACAACCUUCACUUCUUUCAUCAAGCCAAACCCUAAUCUCAUCAACUAUUCUCUAUUAAUUAUAGACAGAGAAAGAGAAGAGUGAUGGAGAUGGUGAAGGUGGGUCCGCUAAUCUGGUCCGGCGAAUAAGGCUAACACGAUGGUAGUGCUCUGAUUUCGUUGGUGUUCUUCUAGCUGUUGGAAGAGUCUGCCAUCCACGUCUCCGUCGUGCCUCCCUUCGGUACCGGCAGAUAAGCAUGUUUAUUGAGGUGUUAUAAGAAGGUAUGUCGGAAGAGUUUGGUCUCGGCGCCUCCGUCGUGUUGUCUUUCUCUGAGUUUAUGGGUUUUGCAAUCGAUCGGUUUAUAAGCAGAAAAAAUGUGAAUUUAGCUAAUGUCGUGGAAGGAGCUAAGGCGAUGGGCUUUGUCUGGGUUAAACACCAGGAAAAGGACAGGAGCAUGACUUGGAAUUAAUGGCGUAGCUUCAAUGUUUUUAGGUAAUUCUGUUCUGGUUGUAUCACUAAUAAUGAUGUACCGUUUGGGAGGCUCAUAACUAAUGGUGCCUUCUAACUCCUUGUAUAACUAUAAUUUCCAACAUGUUUAUGCAAUAUGGUGUUGUACUCUUUGCUGACUUGCUUAUCUGUGCUCUUUGUUGUUGUUCCUUAAGUUUGUUGUUUUGUAUAUGUUUGGUGUUAUGACACAAGUCCUCUUCCUUUUCUUAAAACCCCCUUCUGUCUUGUCUCUCAUGUCCUUAUCCAUUCCUCUGUGGUUCUCCCCCUUCUCCAACGAAGAAGCCGACGGCGGUAGUGAUGGCCGGCCAUGAUGAAGACGAUGGUGUUUCUUUUGUUGAGAAGUGACGGUGGUAGUGAUGGCCGGCAAGAUGAUGGUGUUUCUUUUGUUGAGAAGUGACGGUGGAGACAAAGAUUAGGGUUCCGUGAUGUCUUCUGGUACAGUUCCGACCAAACUCAAGUAAGGUUCGAUUCUAUUGCAUGUUUCAGAAGUUACAAAAAUAGCUUGCACUUUCCACCAGUUUGUCGUUUUACAGAAGUUACGAAAAUCAUAUAAACGUAAUUGGUAAUUUGUUGUUAAUUUUGUUUUGGCUAAGUUUAUAGGGUUUUUGCAGGUUUUUUUCUACUGUAGGAUUUGUUGGAGGUAAGUGUGUUCUUAUUUUGUUUCUCAAUUUAUAGUUUGUUUUAUGAAUUGUACC